UACGGAGGGUGCGAGCGUUGUCCGGAAUCACUGGGCGUAAAGAGCGUGUAGGCGGCCUGAAAGGUCAGCUGUGAAAACUCGAGGCUCAACCUCGAGACGUCGGUUGAAACCAUCUGGCUAGAGUCCGGAAGAGGAGUGUGGAAUUCCCGGUGUAGCGGUGAAAUGCGCAGAUAUCGGGAAGAACACCCGUGGCGAAGGCGGCACUCUGGGACGGUACUGACGCUGAGACGCGAAGGCGUGGGGAGCGAACAGG
rnacentral:rRNA from 1 species